AUGGUGGAUUCCUCUUCUUUGCAGGUUGUUGAAUCGUGGUUGGUGAAACAUGGUACAAAACCUAGAAAAUCCAAAGGGUUUUUAUCUAGGUCGAAGAAGAGUAACCGUUAUGCUUUUGGUGAUAACGAGGAAUUGUCGGAAUCUAUUGAUUGUAGGGAGAAAAGUGUUGUUAAUCAGGUCAAAGAUCAAGGCCAGUGUGGGUGGAAGGAAAAUUGUUGUUUCAUAUUGGUUUCGACAACAUUUAUUUUCCCAGAAUAUAAAUUUUUAAGUCUACUGCUAGGUUAA